rnacentral:rRNA from 1 species
AGCGAACGCUGGCGGCAGGCUUAACACAUGCAAGUCGAGCGGGCACUUCGGUGUCAGCGGCAGACGGGUGCGUAACACGUGGGAACGUACCCUUUGGUUCGGAAUAACGCUGGGAAACUAGCGCUAAUACCGGAUACGCCCUUUUGGGGAAAGGCUUGCUGCCGAAGGAUCGGCCCGCGUCUGAUUAGCUAGUUGGUGGGGUAAUGGCCUACCAAGGCGACGAUCAGUAGCUGGUCUGAGAGGAUGAUCAGCCACACUGGGACUGAGACACGGCCCAGACUCCUACGGGAGGCAGCAGUGGAGAAUAUUGGACAAUGGGCGCAAGCCUGAUCCAGCCAUGCCGCGUGAGUGAUGAAGGCCUUAGGGUUGUAAAGCUCUUUUGUCCGGGACGAUAAUGACGGUACCGGAAGAAUAAGCCCCGGCUAACUUCGUG